rnacentral:rRNA from 1 species
GACGAACGCUGGCGGCGUGCCUAAUACAUGCAAGUAGAACGAGUUGAGAACGGGUGAGUAACGCGUGGUAACCUGCCUCAUAGCGGGGGAUAACUAUUGGAAAAGAUAGCUAAUACCGCAUACUGUGAGAUGGACCUGCGUUGUAUUAGCUAGUUGGUGAGGUAAAGGCUCACCAGGGCUACGAUACAUAGCCGACCUGAGAGGAUGCCCAGCCACACUGGAACUGAGCCACGGUCCAGCCGCCUACGGCAGGCAGCAGUGGGGAAAAUGGCACGAGGGGCGCAAGCCUGAUGCAGCCAUGCCGCGUGUAUGAAGAAGGCCUUCGGGUUGUAAAGUACUUUCAGCGGGGAGGCGUUACCCGCAGAAGAAGCACCGGCUAACUCCGUGCCAGCAGCCGCGGUAAUUC